GACGAACGCUGGCGGCGUGCUUAACACAUGCCAGUCGAACGGAAAGGCCCUGCUUUUGUGGGGUGCUCGAGUGGCGAACGGGUGAGUAACACGUGAGUAACCUGCCCUUGACUUUGGGAUAACUUCAGGAAACUGGGGCUAAUACCGGAUAGGAGCUCCUGCUGCAUGGUGGGGGUUGGAAAGUUUCGGCGGUUGGGGAUGGACUCGCGGCUUAUCAGCUUGUUGGUGGGGUAGUGGCUUACCAAGGCUUUGACGGGUAGCCGGCCUGAGAGGGUGAUCGGCCACAUUGGGACUGAGAUACGGCCCAGACUCCUACGGGAGGCAGCAGUGGGGAAUAUUGCACAAUGGGCGGAAGCCUGAUGCAGCAACGCCGCGUGCGGGAUGACGGCCUUCGGGUUGUAAACCGCUUUCGCCUGUGACGAAGCGUGAGUGACGGUAAUGGGUAAAGAAGCACCGGCUAACUACGCG
rnacentral:rRNA from 1 species